rnacentral:piRNA from 1 species
UCUUAAAAUUACCCUUGAAGACAGUAAGC